AACGAAAAGAAUAAAAAGAAAAGGAGAACAACGACGAGAGGAGUCUUCAUCAUCAUCCUUAUUUAAUCUGCCUUCCCUUUUCUAUCUCUCUUUCUCUCUUUUC
rnacentral:ribozyme from 14 species